rnacentral:rRNA from 1 species
CAGCCGCCACGGUAACACGUAGGGUGCGAGCGUUAAUCGGAAAUACUGGGCGUAAAGCGUGCGCAGGCGGUUAUAUAAGACAGAUGUGAAAUCCCCGGGCUCAACCUGGGACCUGCAUUUGUGACUGUAUAGCUAGAGUACGGUAGAGGGGGAUGGAAUUCCACGUGUAGCAGUGAAAUGCGUAGAGAUGUGGAGGAACACCGAUGGCGAAGGCAGCCCCCUGGGCCAAUACUGACGCUCAUGCACGAAAGCGUGGGGAGCAAACAGGAUUAGAUACCCCCGUAGUCCCUGUCUCUUAUAA